AACUGCGAGUGAAGCGGGAAAAGCUCAAAUUUAAAAUCUGGCAGUCAUUGGCUGUCCGAGUUGUAAUUUAGAGAAGCGUCUUCCGCGCUGGACCGUGCACAAGUCUCCUGGAAUGGAGCGUCAUAGAGGGUGAGAAUCCCGUCUUUGGCACGGAUGCCCGGUGCUUCUGUGAUGCGCUCUCGAAGAGUCGAGUUGUUUGGGAAUGCAGCUCAAAAUGGGUGGUGAACUCCAUCUAAAGCUAAAUAUUGGCGAGAGACCGAUAGCGAACAAGUACCGUGAGGGAAAGAUGAAAAGCACUUUGGAAAGAGAGUGAAACAGUACGUGAAAUUGUUGAAAGGGAAACGCUUGAAGUCAGUCGCGUCGACCAAGACUCAGCCUUGCCUUGGCUUGGUGUACUUCUUGGGCCGACGGGUCAGCAUCAAUUUUGCUCCUCGGAUAAUGGCAAGGGAAAGGUGGCACCYUUACGGGUGUGUUAUAGUCUCCUGUCGCAUGCGAGGGGUGGGAUUGAGGAACUCAGCGUGCACCUUGGUGUCGGGGCCUUU
rnacentral:rRNA from 1 species